rnacentral:rRNA from 1 species
UGAGCAACCUGCCCUUAGCUCUGGGAUAACCCCGGGAAACCGGGGCUAAUACCGGAUACGAGACCGUGCGGCAUCACGCGGUCUGGAAAGUUUUUCGGCAAGGGAUGGGGUCGCGGCCUAUCAGCUUGUUGGUGGGGUGAUGGCCUACCAAGGCGACGACGGGUAGCCGGCCUGAGAGGGCGACCGGCCACACUGGGACUGAGACACGGUCCAGACUCCUACGGGAGGCA